rnacentral:rRNA from 1 species
UACAGGGGGUGCAAACGUUGCUCGGAAUUAUUGGGCGUAAAGCGCACGUAGGCGGUCUGUUAUGUCGGAUGUGAAAGCCCUUGGCUCAACUGAGGAAGUGCAUCCGAAACUGGCAGGCUGGAGUACGUAAGAGGGUCGCGGAAUUCCCGGUGUAGAGGUGAAAUUCGUAGAUAUCGGAGGAACACCGGUGGCGAAGGCGGCGACCUGGGACGAUACUGACGCUGAGGUGCGAAAGCGUGGGGAGCAAACAGG